rnacentral:misc_RNA from 1 species
GAUGAAGAACGCAGCGAAAUGCGAUAAGUAGUGUGAAUUGCAGAAUUCAGUGAAUCAUCGAAUCUUUGAACGCACAUUUCGCCCCUUGGUAUCCCGAGGGGCAUGCCUGUUCGAGCGUCAUUUCACCACUCAAGCCUGGCUUGGUGUUGGGCGACGUCCUCUUUGGGGACGCGCCUCGAAACGCUCGGCGGCGUGGCACCGGCUUUAAGCGUAGCAGAAUCUUUCGCUUUGGAAGUCGGGGCCCCGUCUGCCGGAAGACCUGCUCGCAAGGUUGACCUCGGAUCAGGCAGGGAUACCCGCUGAACUUAAGCAUAUCAAUAAGCGGAGGA